AUUGAACGCUGGCGGCAUGCCUUACACAUGCAAGUCGAACGGUAACGGGCCUUCGGGUGCCGACGAGUGGCGAACGGGUGAGUAAUACAUCGGAACGUGCCCGAUCGUGGGGGAUAACGAGGCGAAAGCUUUGCUAAUACCGCAUACGAUCUACGGACGAAAGCAGGGGACCGCAAGGCCUUGCGCGGACGGAGCGGCCGAUGGCAGAUUAGGUAGUUGGUGGGAUAAAAGCUUACCAAGCCGACGAUCUGUAGCUGGUCUGAGAGGAUGAUCAGCCACACUGGGACUGAGACACGGCCCAGACUCCUACGGGAGGCAGCAGUGGGGAAUUUUGGACAAUGGGCGCAAGCCUGAUCCAGCCAUGCCGCGUGCAGGAUGAAGGCCUUCGGGUUGUAAACUGCUUUUGUACGGAACGAAAAGCCUUCUUUUAAUACAGGAGGGUCAUGACGGUACCGUAAGAAUAAGCACCGGCUAACUACGUG
rnacentral:rRNA from 1 species